rnacentral:rRNA from 1 species
UACGAAGGGGGCUAGCGUUGCUCGGAAUGACUGGGCGUAAAGGGCGCGUAGGCGGUUUGUACAGUCAGAUGUGAAAUUCCUGGGCUCAACCUGGAGGCUGCAUUUGAUACGUGCGGACUAGAGUGGGGAAGAGGGUCGUGGAAUUCCCAGUGUAGAGGUGAAAUUCGUAGAUAUUGGGAAGAACACCGGUGGCGAAGGCGGCGACCUGGUCCUUGACUGACGCUGAGGCGCGAAAGCGUGGGGAGCAAACAGG